GGGGGGAGCAAGCGUUGUUCGGAUUUACUGGGCGUAAAGGGCGCGUAGGCGGCCACUGCAAGUCAAUUGUGAAAUCUCCGGGCUUAACUCGGAAAGGUCAACUGAUACUGCAGGGCUAGAGUGCGGAAGGGGCAACUGGAAUUCUCGGUGUAGCGGUGAAAUGCGUAGAUAUCGAGAGGAACACCUGCGGCGAAGGCGGGUUGCUGGGCCGACACUGACGCUGAAGCGCGAAAGCUAGGGGAGCGAACGGGAUUAGAUACCCCGGUAGUCCUAGCCUUAAACGAUGAAUGCUUGGUGUCUGGGGUUUUAUAGUCCCCGGGUGCCGUCGCUAACGCUUUAAGCAUUCCGCCUGGGGAGUACGGUCGCAAGACUG
rnacentral:rRNA from 1 species